UACGUAGGGGGCAAGCGUUGUCCGGAAUCAUUGGGCGUAAAGGGCGCGUAGGCGGUCUUGUAAGUCAGCUGUGAAAGCCCGGGGCUCAACCCCGGAGGGUCGGCUGAUACUGCAGGACUAGAGUACAGAAGAGGUAACUGGAAUUCCCGGUGUAGCGGUGAAAUGCGUAGAUAUCGGGAGGAAUACCGGUGGCGAAGGCGGCAUCCUGGACCGAGAUUGACACUGAUGAGCGAAAGCCAGGGGAGCAAACGGG
rnacentral:rRNA from 1 species